GUUUGAGGGAGAUUUUGUUAGAAGGAUUGGAGUUGUUGAACUGGUGAUUGGAGAUCUGAGAUUCUCAGAGGAAAGAUGAGAUCGAAUCUUCAAAUGGAAGAAAAGAUCUGAGAAAGAAGGAUUGAAGAUUUGGAGGAAAAGAUUGAAGAUCUGAAAGUUCAGAGGAAAGAUGGGAUUGAAUCAACUAGAUGGGAGAGAAGAUCAGAAGAGAAGGAUUGAAAUUGAUGAAGAAAGGAUUUGAGAAGAGAAAGGCUGAAGAGUUGAGAGAGAAAGGCUUGAGCUCGGAAGAAAAUUUCUUUUCUUUUGGAGUGAACAGUUUUUCCCCAGAAUGCACCUAUUUAUAGAACAAGGUGAGCAGAUCUCCACCGUUGGAUGAACGAUCUCAGAAUUUGAAUCCACGCGUUGGAUUAAAGUCAUCCGAAAACCCGGAAAAGUUGUUGGCGCGUGGAGAGCGUGUAAGGGGACAGGCCGAACCUCGAGAUGCUGUGGCAGACAGCUUUAGCCGAAAGCAGAUUUGACUGCCGUAAAUCACGGAAGGGAUAAGCCGUGACACAAGUGGGCCGUACUUGGGCCUGUCUCGGAUCAAGGCAUCACUGUAGCUGUGGGUGGAGGCCUGAUGGGCCGAGUUUCAGAAACAGUUUUGGACAUGAUGGGCCGAGUUUCUGAAACAGUUUUGGAUACGUUGGGCUGGGUUUCUGCAACAGUCUUGGAUGUUUUGGGCCGAAUUGUUGAAACAGUUGAAACAGUUGGUUUAAAUAAAAGGAUUGGUAUGGAUAAUAACGUGAGCAGCCGUGCUCGAGUGGUUGAGUGUACAGUUCGUGUACAAGAGGUCUGAGGUUCGAACCUCGCCUCUCGUUUAUUUUUAUUAUGGUCGUUUAUGACAUAAUAAGUAUAAAAUUUGUACACAUUAUAUUAAGCACAGCUUGUGCUCCAGUGGUUGGGGGACAAAGGUUUCGUGCGGCAGGUUGAGGUUUCGAACCUUGCCUUCCCCGUUAUUUCAUUUAUGUCACUUAUGACAUAAUAAAUAUAACACGUGAGCAUAUAUUAAUGAAGGCAGCUCUUGCUUCAGUGGUUGGGAGCAAAACCUUCGUGUUUGAGGUCGGGAGUUCGAACCCUACCUCUUACAAAUAUUUUUGGGUCUCGUAUAUGCUUGAUAUACGGACGUAUAUACGGUAUGUACGGUAUACAUACGUAUAUACGGUCUGUACAGUAUGCAUACGUAUAUACAGUUGUACGGUAUGCAUACGUAUACACGAUCUGUACGGUAUGUAUACGUAUAUACGGUAUGUACAAUUUCAUACCGUAGCCGAGCUGGAAGUGGGUGGGCCGAUUGGUAGGCCCAAAUAGUAAGCCCAAUUGUUCGGCCCGAAUAGUAGGCCCAAAUGUUAAACCCAAAGUGGUUUGGGCCGGUUCGAAAUGUGGAUGGUUCGGUUUCUUCGGCCCAAUUGGCCAGCCCUAGUGCUUAGUCCAAGGAUUGAGCAAGCCCAAGUCAUCAUCAUUGGGUGACAUAAUUUAUUGGCGUGCUUUUGGGGAUGAUUUGUUUUGAGUGAUGCAUCUCUAUGGUUGUGAAGAGUGGUGCAUGCUUAAGUUUUACUAUGGAGAUUUACCGUGAUGCUAAUUGAGUAGCGAAACACUUUGUGGGAGUGUUUACUGUGCUUGUAUGCCAGUACAGAGUGAUGAUCUAUGUGAAGAUCUAUGUGAUGAUCUAUGUGAAGAUCUAUGUGAGGAUCUAUGAGAUGAUCCACGUGAUGAUUUUGUGUAAUUGAUGUGGAGUGAUGUUGAGCAGUUGUUUUGUGAAUUUACAUUGUGAUGAAAGGAUUUAGUGGCCCUAGGAAUGUAUUUUUAUACAAAGGAUUGUGGCUUUGUAGAUUACUACAGAUUUGGAAAAGAUGGAGAUUCUAUGAUUAGGUCAACCUUAAUCGAGAGGAAUUGACUUACGCUCAAAUUUCGGGACGAAAUUUCUUUAAGGAGGGUAGAUUGUAAUACCCCGAAAAAUCCAAAUUAAAUUCCAUGGUUUUUUAGAAAUGAUUUCACGAUAGUAGGAGCGAGUACGAAGCUUGGAAAAGUUGUGGAAUUAGUUCGAACGAUUUUAUUUUCGAAAACGAACGUUUUUAGGGGGUCAACAAAGUUGACUUUUUAUACGUUCAAAAUUUGGGAAAACUUCCUUCAUGAAAGUUGUAGAGCUCGUCGAUACGAGUUCGUGGACAUGUGGAACGCAUUAUUUGGAGUUCGUAUGAAUAAGUUAUGAAUAUUUUAAAAUUGAGAAUUUUCUAUAAAUACAAAAAAUCAGAUUUCUCAAUAAGGAAACCCGAAAAUUUCCAGAUUUUUCUCCUCCUCGCUGCCUUGGCUUCACGGCGUCGCCACGACUUCAUCCGGCCACCUAUGGCCAUGAAAUUGAUAUCAAUCUCUUCGCCUUGAAACCAGCUUUCCAUUCAUAUAUGUCUUGCAUCCUAUCAUUCACCAUAGACAACGAAUCGAAGCAAAGAAGGUCAGACCAUUUUUCAUGCAUUUCUUCAAAUUCCAGCCAACUCCGGCAAAGGUAGGAGGGGAGACCAACUGGGCUUUGUUCGCCUUGCCAUGCUCUAUAAACUCACCAAGUUUCACAUCUCGAUUCAACCCGAGGAAGACGAAUUUCAGAUUUGAGCGAUUUUGGGCGAUUUCGGCCUCUUUCUUCUUGAGGUGAUUGGCGGAUUGAUUUGGCGGACGAUUCGUAAAAUCGUUGUUGAGCUGUUUAGAAGACGCAACGGGAAUUAGAGCGGGUAAUCCUACAGGACAGGAGAACCAGGACGGUGAUCGUGCGGUUAGAGCAAUUGUUAGAGUUUUACAACAAUUGUAAGUUGUGAGG